rnacentral:rRNA from 1 species
AUCCUACGGGGGGCAGCAGUGAGGAAUAUUGGUCAAUGGGCGCAAGCCUGAACCAGCCAAGUCGCGUGAGGGAUGACGGUCCUAUGGAUUGUAAACCUCUUUUGUCGGGGAGCAAGGCCCGCCACGUGUGGCGGGAAGGAGAGUACCCGCAGAAAAAGCAUCGGCUAACUCCGUGCCAGCAGCCGCGGUAAUACGGAGGAUGCGAGCGUUAUCCGGAUUUAUUGGGUUUAAAGGGUGCGUAGGCGGGGGGUUAAGUCAGCGGUUAAAAGUCGGUUGUCAACACCGGCCUGCCGUUUAAACUGGUU